CCUACGGGAGGCAGCAGUGAGGAAUAUUGGUCAAUGGACGAGAGUCUGAACCAGCCAAGCAGCGUGAAGGAUGACUGCUCUAUGGGUUGUAAACUUCUUUUAUAUGGGAAUAAAAUGUUCCACGUGUGGGAUUCUGUAUGUACCAUACGAAUAAGGAUCGGCUAACUCCGUGCCAGCAGCCGCGGUAAUACGGAGGAUCCGAGCGUUAUCCGGAGUUAUUGGGUUUAAAGGGAGCGUAGGUGGAUUGGUAAGUCAGAUGUGAAAGUUUGCGGCUCAACCGUGGAAUUGCAGUUGAAACUGGCAGUCUUGAGUAAAGUAGAGGUAGGCGGAAUUCGUGGUGUAGCGGUGAAAUGCUUAGAUAUCACGAAGAACACCGAUUGCGAAGGCAGUUCACUGGACUGCAACUGACGCUGAGGCUCGAAAGUGUGGGGAGCAAACAGGAUUAGAUACCCUAGUAGUC
rnacentral:rRNA from 1 species